GUCCGCGGAUGCGGGCCCGCUCGAGAUUCGGCCCGUAUUGCGCAGUCGUACGGUCCGUCGUCGUUUGCGAGAAGUACUCGUUUACGUAGUCUCGCGUGCAGUAUAUUGCAUUUUCUAGCAAUAGACUAGUUACGAUCGUAGAUUAGUUCCAUCACGUAGGGUAUCGUCUCGCCGUCGGCCCGGGACACACCUCCGGCCACUCGACACUCUGCUUACCGGUACACGACACAAAUUAAAAAUUAUCAACACGAUAUUUUACGAGGGCAUUAUGAUUGAUUUAUAAUACCCUAUGCAAUGGUUGUAUAGAUGUAGUGCAGUAUAAUUAUUAAAUGCAGGCAGCAUUCACAUCACAAACUUAACCCACAGAAGAAGUCGCCUCGGGCAGCGGAAGCGCGAUCCGGGAGAAGGACACGAAGAACGACCGUAGAUCGUCGCUCCGGAGACGGGUCGGCGAGUGCCGCUCUCCGACGCGAGACGAUCGUCGAGAAUAACCUACGUGUUUUUCUAUUUUUAUGGAUGCUAUUUUAAGGAUAACUAAAGCUCAGUCAACGGUUAUUUUAGCUUAAGGUCAUAUUAUACGUGUAUUUGUAAUGUACAGUAUUUCAUUGAGUAAGAAUGCUAAAACUUGCCCGGCGGUCGACCCCCAAAACAACUGCGGCGACCCGCUCCGGCACUCGAGAAGACGGAAGCUCCGAGUACACGACGUUAAAGAUUAACGGAUAGUUUGACGACUAUACCACCCCUUGUUCCCUCUACCUCCAGCUAAAUGUAUCCCUCCCUCCACUUACCACUCUUCCUUUCCUCAUCUAUUAUCUUUCCCUUCCACCCCUCUAUCCCACCAUCUGUCCCCCCUCCCUUUCUUCACGUACCAUUCUUCCUUUCCUUAUCUAUUAUCCUUCCCUUCCACCCCUCUAUCCCUUCCCUCCACAUACCACCUUUCUCUCCUAGCACCUGUCGUUCCUUUUUUGUGUUUUAUUUAAUAAGUUUUAUAGUAUAUGAUGGUCACCUUAUUAAUAAUGUACCAUUUUGUGUGAUUACAAUUACACUACACACACUUAGUCGAAGUGACCAGUUAUUAGUGUUGAUAUUAAUGGGAUAAAUAUUAGAUAAGUUUAUUGGAGUUUGCUAUAAAAUAUGUGACUAUAAUUAUAAAUUGUGAGUGUGAAGAAGGGUUUAUAAGUUGUAUAUAUGUCAAUUAGAGGAACAAAUAAUUUGCUAACCACACCCUAGUCCUUCAAUGGAAAACGCAUCGAAAUGCGCAGCGGCGAAUGCAUUCGGCGGGAGAAUAAUGCGGCGACACGCGUAGAAUACUCGUACGCCACUCUCGGGCACGUACGUUUCCAUUUACUAAAGUUAGGUGGGUUUGUUUGGGUGGCGUGGGACCCAGAGGGCAUCGGCAGGCGGUCGCGUCCGGCGGUUGCCGUGCGAGAAAUUGGGAGGACGGGCUUUCACGUUGCAGAAACUAAGGAACGGCAUCUUCCGGCGGAACCACAGCCCGCGAUUAAAGGAACGCUCGGGUUUGACGCCCACGGACCGAGCGCGCGGCUCCUCCGCCGUAACAAGAGUAGUCGAUUGAAGUCCCCUCUUUUGCCUGGGUGGAUGUGUCUGUGCUAACCGUUUUAGGCAAGUGAAUGUUUGGUACAGCAGAUUUGGGGAUUCAUUGUAGGGUAGACUUGCCAUACAGUGCAGUGUUUUAAUUGGUAUUAUAUUGCGGCGAUCGGCGAGCACGGAGACCGAAGCCUCACUCGACCGUGUCUCGGGAGGCGUGGGGUUUGGUCCGAGGCCACUCGCAGUCAUCGUCGAGGGUAUAGUCCGGAACGCCGUUCGACGUGACGUCUCGUCGAAAUUCCGGAGCGGUCUUCUCGUCGCGGGGCGCGCCGGAGGUCGACGCUACGACGUUCCCGGAGGGGUCGUCGUCGUCGUCGUCGGGUAUUUGACGUGCAUCCGGAGUAGAACGAGGGCACGCGUCGAACCGUCGAAAGUGCGCAAGAAAUGAGAUCGCGUAAAUAACGGCAGAUUAAUUUCGUCGACACUCGUACGUAUAAGAGUGCAAAGUAAAUAAAUAAUACGUAUUUUUUUUAUGGGAAUUAGCCCACCCGGGCACGGGUCACCGACCCACAUCGGGGCGAAAAUGUAAUAAUAAUAAUAAUUGUUGAAGUUACAGUGUUCAUUUUUGGUGGAUAUCAACGAAAUAUGAUGCGAGAGGCUCAGACGACGACACAAACGACGACGCUCUCUCCGGUAUAUUUUCGGGACCGUCCGUAAAAACGAAACCAAAACACGCGUGCGCAUUCAAAGUGGCGCAUUAUUGCACAAGUAAAAUAAAACAUAUUGCCAUAAAUAUGGGGUAACCUAGUUUAUAUGUAACAAUAAUACUGAAGAACCUUAAAGAAAUACAAAAUGGAAAAAAAAAUCAAAAGUGAGGAACAAUAGAUUUAUGUUGUGUUGUAAGAGAAACAAUCGAGACCCCGCAAUCGCGUGUUAACGAGGCAGAGAGUCAGACGAGCGACCCGGGACUCGGUCACAAUUUUAGGGAUGCCACGUAGCAGGAAGAUCUACCACGGACGACACAUUACGCUUCCAAUAUUGUCUGCGGAGGUGGUAUCUCCCCGUUUGGUGGCUGCCUAAGUAUGUAAGAUUUUCCAAUGGAAAGUGUAUGUUUGGCAAAUGUAUCCAGGUCUUUAGAGAAUGUACUCAGAUAUUUGGGUUAGGUGUCAAGGGUUCAUGUAUAAUUUGCAUGCCUAAUUGACUAUGUAUAUUUUUUAACCUUAAUUUUUCAUUUGCAGUCACCCGACGGGAGUCAGAAACGUCAUUUUUGUGCGGACCGGCGACUCGACGGACCCCGGCCGAGGACGCCGCUCGAACCGCGGUUGCGGAGGAGCGCGCCGAUACGAGUCGGAGACGGCUCGUACAGUCGGCGCACGAGAGCGGGCCGGACGAAGACAUUCGGGAACCGAGGACGAAGACGCUCGUCGACUGCGGACGAAGACACCGGUCGACGCGCGAGGAAGAUGCUCCGGAACACGGGAAGAACGCCACACUCCCGAGUGCGGGAAGACACUCGUCAACGCAGAAGGAGACACGCAUCAAUGUCGGGCCGGCGUGAUUGUUUUAAAGACGAUUUAACGUGUAAAAUGAAUGUACGUGUUGUUUGUAACGAUUGUUAUAAUGUUUGUAGUAUUGUUUUUAGAGACCGACUCUGCGAAGACGGAGGAAGUCGAUACAUGUCGAGAAUGAAUUUAUUGAAGAUGUUGCCUGUGAUCACUAGGUGUUUGCACUAAUUUGGGGAGAUGAUUACGAUCGUAGAACGUCACGGAAUGCGGCGCGCACGUCAUUUGUGGCGGGACGCAUUCGUAAAUAACGGCAGCAUAAAUACGAGAGAACGCGGCGGCGGCGGCGGGGAAGUGCGCCUUUUGAAAGUAAAAGAACGGGGGAGAUCGGACCGACAUAGAUGGUGUUGUUGUGGUAACCGAUAAGAAUGGAGAAAUGAUGACUAUUUGGUGGGUUUUUUAGGACAGAGAGAGUAGUUAUAUAUUAGUGAAGAUAUAAAGUAAAAGGUGAUAAGGAUGGUGGUGGGGGGGACAACGAAUGAUAUAUUUUGUAGGGUAUUAAAGGAAUUGACUCGUCAGUGCCGAGUCGGCGUAAUUGUGAGAAACGGAUGCGACGGGGAUUUUAAAGAAGUUGCGGGGAAAUUGGCGGAAGCGACGAUCGCAAUAACCUUUCGACGUGGGACGGACGACGACGAAUUUAGUAAAUGGCGGUUUAGGAAAGGGUCGUACGUAAAGCGGCGGGUGCGG